rnacentral:rRNA from 1 species
UACGUAGGGGGCAAGCGUUGUCCGGAAUCAUUGGGCGUAAAGAGCGCGUAGGCGGCCCGGUAAGUCCGCUGUGAAAGUCAAAGGCUCAACCUUUGAAUGUCAGCGGAUACUGCCGGGCUAGAGUCCGGAAGAGGCGAGUGGAACUCCUGGUGUAGCGGUGGAAUGCGCAGAUAUCAGGAGGAACACCGGUGGCGAAGGCGGGUCUCUGGGCCGAUACUGACGCUGAGGAGCGAAAGCGUGGGGAGCAAACAGG